UACGGGGGGGGCAAGCGUUGUUCGGAAUUACUGGGCGUAAAGGGCUCGUAGGUGGCCAACUAAGUCAGACGUGAAAGCCCCCGGCUUAACCGGGGAGGGUCGUUGGGGACGGCGGGGCUUGAAUCCGGGAGAGGGAUGCGGAAUUCCAGGUGUAGCGGUGAAAUGCGUAGAUAUCUGGAGGAACACCGGUGGCGAAGGCGGCAUCCUGGACCGGCAUUGACGCUGAGGCGCGAAAGCCAGGGGAGCAAACGGG
rnacentral:rRNA from 1 species